rnacentral:rRNA from 1 species
UACGAAGGGGGCUAGCGUUGCUCGGAAUCACUGGGCGUAAAGGGUGCGUAGGCGGGUCUUUAAGUCAGGGGUGAAAUCCUGGAGCUCAACUCCAGAACUGCCUUUGAUACUGGCGAUCUCGAGUUCGGGAGAGGUGAGUGGAACUGCGAGUGUAGAGGUGAAAUUCGUAGAUAUUCGCAAGAACACCAGUGGCGAAGGCGGCUCACUGGCCCGGAACUGACGCUGAGGUGCGAAAGCGUGGGGAGCAAACAGG